AACUAAUUCCCCUUCGGGUCACCAGGGACCUGAGGUGGGAAUUUCACGGAUCAGGGUUCCCUGUGACCCUUGGAAAAGGGCAGAAUCACCCCAAGUCAGAAACCCCCUAUCAGCUCAAAAGCGGGGUUCGAUUUAAACUAGGGCUGUGGCCCCAUGACCUCAAUCAAGCCCCGCCCCUUCCUGGUUGUCUUAGCGACGGCGGUGGCGUCCCAAGAUGGCGUCGUUGUUGCCGGAGACUCUGUUCGAAAUUGUAGGAGAAGGCCCGGCGCCGAGCAAAGACUAUUACCAGUUAUUGGUCACCCGAUCCCAGGUCAUCUUUAGAUGGUGGAAGAUCUCUCUGAGGAGUGAGUAUCGAUCAGCAAAACCUGGAGAAACAAAAGAAUCUCACGAGAACUUCCUAGAGAAUUCACAUCUUCAAGUUCAAAUUGCCUUAAUAUUUGGUGCAAGAAUAUUAGACUAUGUCUUCCAUUUGUGCGAAGGUAAAUUUGACUUCCUUGAGCGGCUCUCAGACAAUUUACUCCUGAAUAUCAUUUCUUAUCUGGAUCUUGAAGAUAUUGCCAGUCUUUCUCAAACAUCACGCAGAUUUUCCAAGCUGUGCAUCUCUGACAAACUGUGGGAGCCGAUAGUUCAGUCCGCCUGUGACAACAUCACCCCUGAGAUGAGGGCCUUGGCCGAGGAUAUGGGCUGGAGACAGAUGUUCUUCGCCAACAAGUUGCAGCUCCAGAGGCAACUCCGCAAGAGGAAAGAAAGCCAAGAAAGCGAGAGAGACAGUCAAGUUUAGGGAAUGUUUUCUACCUGCAGAGGCAUGGAGGCAUGGCUGUGUGUUUUUUCUUUGUCCAAAUGUCUUCUGUUUCCUUUGACUAAGAAUGAAGAGGUUUUGCUGAUUCAAGGAGCAUCGGAAAAUCAUAGAAUAUUUGCACACAAAUGCAGCAAAUCCAAUUCUGCAGUCGCAGUCCUGUCGUGGUGACAAGGGCUGCAGGACGGGAAGCCCCACCCACCAUCCACGUCUUCACCACCCCUGACACCCAUAUGAGGCUUCUGCUGUGUAGAAACAAACAAUAAAUGAUUUUUAGCAGGUUUUUAUUACAUAUCUAUUUUAUCUCGGCGUCGGAAAAGGGAGCCAGGCUUUUGAAUUUUUUCCUGCUGUGUGUCAUCGGACUCCAUUCAUGGAGCAGGUGGCCUGUGUCUCCCCAGGGAACUGUGAAGGGCAUUGGCAUGGGAGGCAGUCUGCUUCCACUUGGAACUCCAGUGAUACAGCAGAUCUCCUGAAUGGUGCAGGAGAGGUGGGCCCUGGCUGUCCUCCCCACCGAAUUUCUUCUGGAAUGGUGCCAUAGCCAUAGCUUACUGACAGGUUUUUUUUUUCCCCCUCUUUUACUAGACCUGCGUUAUAUCACGCCAGAUUUUAACCCACAUCCACACACCCUUAAUACUCGGUAGUGGAUUUGCAGGGACAUCUGUAAAGUCAAAUGCAGUCUGCUUCCUUGCAAGUGACAAGCCUGUCAAAGUUAGUCCAAAUACAGAGCAAAAAUUUAAUUGGCCAGAGACCCCCGGCCUCAUUUCCUGCCCGGGAGCCAUUCUGCCAGGGUGAUUGGCAGGCUGGUGGAGGGCACGUGCUUCUGCAGGGCUCCUGCAGUGUGUCUGCCAGAACUUCCAGACUUCAUUCCCAUCUACGUUUUCAGUGACACACAGGUUAACACCCCGUGUGUGCAACAAUUAUGUGUAUGUACAAUUUGGUAUGGCAACAGAACUGUGUCAACGUAAAAUUUCAACUCAUUUGUAACAUCGAUGCAAAAUGUCAACAGCUUAAAAAUGUUAUGUGUGGUGUUUUAUCAACUAAGACACUCUGAAAGCGUAUGGGCAUGCAUAAUCUUCUUGAUUCAACAGGAAUCAGUAGGAACACAAAUAUGCCAUCUGAAAACUCUGAUUAUCCAUAUAAAAUGGUAUAAUAUUAAAAUGGAUGCUAAAGGUAAAUAACAGUUGAAAAUGAUUUAUUAAUAUAUUGACUAUUGUUAAAUAAGUUAAAAUAACAUAGGGUAUCAGACUAUUUCAAUAAUUAUUUGUCCUAAUAAUUUGGAUGUUUUAUUACCUGAUUAUAAUUAAUUUUGCCAAAACUGAACAGUAUCAUCAACCUAAAAUUGUUGACUAUGGCACCAGCAUCGUCAGUGGUCGAAACAUUUAGCCCCUCUCUUCCCUGCCUCAUUUCCUGUGUUAGUAGGUCCACAGAAUGAUCCAUCAGAUGGAAAUAGUAUAGCACUGGUUCGCCUCUGUGCCCCUUUCCUACAGCUUUCAUACAGACCGAUAAGUCUGCUUUGUUUAUGGCAUACCAUUUCGGAGUGAAAGGCAUUUUAUAAUCUUGUCCUUUCUCAUCUCUUCAGUCAAAAGUGUUCCUAUUCUGUUGUCGUUCACCAUUGUAAUUGUAAAAGUAAAAUACUGAAAUUUUCUGAUGAUUUAUAUGUUUUCAACUUAGAAAAAUUUGUUAACAACAGCAAAUGUGAAUAUUUAAUUUAUAAGCU